AAGGCUGAUGCUAAACAAACACCAAGAUCCAGACAGGGGUGCAGGUCCCAGGCUGCAGGUGAGGAAGGCAAAGGGGCUUCCAGCUCUCCUUGUACUGGCAGAGCAAAGGUGUUUAUGGUGGGUGAAAGGACCUCCUCUAACCCAAUAAUAGCAAAAACCUGGUGUUUCUGCUAAGAUCAUCUGUGGAGAGGGCAGGCCAAGGUACCUGGAGUGUGCCAGGUGCUGGAGCAAGAAAGAUUUGUACAUUGAGUACAGCAAGAUCAAUGCAAGCUCAAGAAACAGGGUGAGUUGGUGGCAAGUAUUCCAUGAACACAGAGGUAGACAGGGUUCAGUGACAAGUGGGGGCACAAGAGGGGUUCUCCACAUCCCUGUGGAAUCUUUUAGGAUGGUGCCAAAGCUGCCGAACUUGACAGAUGAGUUUCUACAGUUAAUCACCAGAGUUCACACACACUGAAGUUAAGGUGCAUGUUUUCAGAAGGGCUGAGAGCACAAGCUCCCAAUACAGUGCAAAUUAAAGCAAUAGCAUCAUUAAUUAACUGAUCAUACAUACAACAUAUUGCAGCAGUAACCCUAGGAAUCCGGGAAUGAGGACCACCCUGGCAUGCAGCAGAGGAUUGACUUGUCUUGGCCUGGAUGAGGUAGCAGAGGUACUUUAUACUUAUUGACCACUCCCUUACCAAAUACAAGGCUUACAAGCCAAAAACAUGGCAUUUCACUAUUGCCAACUGAGACAAAGAGGCACAAAACCACAAAAUGUAAUCAGUUCUAAGUAAUGUUAAGUUUGUUGGCUUUGCAAUGGAAAAUAACUGUGGUGCUUGAGGGUAGUUGACAUAGUUUCAGGUCCUUAGGACAUUAGUACAAAAGGUGUAAGAAAAGCAGAAUAGAAAAACAGGACCUGGGGAUGGGGGGCAUCUGGGACUAGCAGAUGCCCAGGAUGGGUACACUUUAACUGAUAAGUAGAAGGACAGGAUGAUUGCUGUGUUGGUGGUGUUAACAAACCCAUUAAGUUGGUGUAAACAUCUACUGGGGCUGAUGUCCAGGAUGGGAGCAGUUAAAGUAACUGGUAAGUAGAAGGACAGGAUGAUUCCUAUGUCUGUAAUGUUAAUUAAGCUGGUUAUGAAGAUUGUUAGGAAAAGUAAACGACCCUUAAAGACCACCAUCACAUUUUUGUAUGCAUGCGGGAAACUUUCUGGAAAAUGAUGUAUAUCCGGUGACCAUAUAGGGAUGGCCGGUAUAGGAAUAUGGGGACACAGGUUAGGAGGAGCUGUCCCUCGUGUCUCCCAG
rnacentral:lncRNA from 14 species